GAGUUUGAUCGUGGCUCAGAUUGAACGCUGGCGGCAUGCUUUACACAUGCAAGUCGAACGGUAACGCGGGGGCAACCCUGGCGACGAGUGGCGAACGGGUGAGUAAUACAUCGGAACGUGUCCUGGAGUGGGGGAUAGCUCGGCGAAAGCCGGAUUAAUACCGCAUACGCUCUGAGGAGGAAAGCGGGGGACCUUCGGGCCUCGCGCUGCGGGAGCGGCCGAUGUCGGAUUAGCUAGUUGGUGGGGUAAAGGCCUACCAAGGCGACGAUCCGUAGCUGGUCUGAGAGGAUGAUCAGCCACACUGGGACUGAGACACGGCCCAGACUCCUACGGGAGGCAGCAGUGGGGAAUUUUGGACAAUGGGGGCAACCCUGAUCCAGCCAUGCCGCGUGAGUGAAGAAGGCCUU
rnacentral:rRNA from 1 species